rnacentral:rRNA from 1 species
AGUGAACGCUGGCGGUAGGCCUAACACAUGCAAGUCGAACGGAAGCACAGUAAGAGCUUGCUCUUACGGGUGGCGAGUGGCGGACGGGUGAGGAAUACAUCGGAAUCUACUUUUUCGUGGGGGAUAACGUAGGGAAACUUACGCUAAUACCGCAUACGACCUACGGGUGAAAGCAGGGGAUCUUCGGACCUUGCGCGAUUGAAUGAGCCGAUGUCGGAUUAGCUAGUUGGCGGGGUAAAGGCCCACCAAGGCGACGAUCCGUAGCUGGUCUGAGAGGAUGAUCAGCCACACUGGAACUGAGACACGGUCCAGACUCCUACGGGAGGCAGCAGUGGGGAAUAUGGGACAAUGGGCGCAAGCCUGAUCCAGCCAUACCGCGUGGGUGAAGAAGGCCUUCGGGUUGUAAAGCCCUUUUGUUGGGAAAGAAAAGCAGCAGGUUAAUACCCCGCUGUUCUGACGGUACCCAAAGAAUAAGCACCGGCUAACUUCGU